GACUUUUGCAUGAAAUUGAGUCUCCAUCAUUUUGUGGAAUUGUUGAAAUUUCAAACCCACUUCCCCUUUAGUUUUAAGAAGGGAACUUCAGGUCAUUCGAGUGCAAUCAUCUAUGAAAGUGCAAACCAUCGAACCCUAGCCAUAGUGGCAAUUUUAGCAAAGCCCCAAACAUCAGAGUGAAUAAGUGAAAAAGGAAUCAAGCUUUAAUUUGAACUUAAAGGAAACUAAGCAUGAUGGCUCUUAACCAGUUCACAUGUCACACUUAAAACUUGAAUUAUAAAAACUUAAAAAUAAUAAUGCAAACUACUUCUUCAAAUAACCUAACAGGUAUGCCCAAUACGCCUAUAUCAUAACCAAACUUCUUCUCUUUGUUUCUCAGCACUAUCUCCACUAAGCUUGACAGUUUGACCGACUCUUGCUUCACUGCCUGGCGCCAAGCCUAAGUAGU
rnacentral:lncRNA from 1 species